rnacentral:lncRNA from 1 species
AGCGCGGUACCCGCCCCGGCGAGGCGCUGGGGAGGCCCGGGUGGGGAGAAGAAAUGGGGCCUGGGGGACGGUAGGAGCCUCCGUGCGGAGACCACUGUUCAAGGCCACAGACAUUUAUGCAGUGUGUGAUUCUUUCUAAAACAACUCCCUGGAAGAGAGGACAUUUAAUUCAACAAUUUAUUGGCCACCUACUGUGCACCAGGCAGUGAACUUGGAACUGGGGCUACUGGGUUACAGCAGUGACCAAGACAGAGGUCCCUGUUCUUAAGGAGCAAGUGAGGGCAACAGAAAAGAGCAGAAGUCAGCUGUCAUGCGAGGGCACUCAAGCAGCCCUGUGGAAAGCUCUACGUGGUGAGAAACUGAAGCCUCCUGCCAACACCAACAAGGAACUGAGACCUACUUCCAACAGCCAUCUGAGUGAUCGAUCCAUCCUGGAAUCAGAUCCUCCAGCCCCAGUCAAGUCUUCAGAUGACUGCAGCCCUGACCAGCAUCUCAACUGCAACCUCGUGAAUGACCCUGAGCCAGAACCAUGCAACUAAACUCUGCGUGGAUUCAUGACCCACAGAAACUGUGAGAUGGUAGCUGUUUGCUUUGUUAAGCCUCUAAGUCUGGAAAGAAUGUCUUAAGCAGUAGCAGACAAUGAACACAAGAUUAUUAUUCAGCUGUUGAAUUGGAAGAGGAGGGGAAGAAAAAAUUUUCAGAUCACAAAAUAUUCAUUGUGUAAAACUUCAAAAAUUCUGAAAUUUAAGGAAAAAAUAUCAUUUGUUGGGAAUUUGUUGGGAUUCAUUGUCUCAGUGCCAAGAGACACCCACUCUUUUUUUUUUUU